rfam:Limnochorda pilosa DNA, complete genome, strain: HC45.
CCCAUCGCGAGGUGGGAUCCGAAGGAAGCCGAAGGCAACGCGCUAGCCCGACGAACAGGAAUCGCAUACGAGGCGGGCACGCUGGGUGGGAAGGCACAACUCUUCAAAGCCCGAUACCUGUGCGGAAAGCGUGCACGCAUAUGCGGCGGGCAUAAGUGCGAAGGUGAGUGCG